rnacentral:rRNA from 1 species
GUCCACGCCGUAAACGAUGAGUGCUAGACGUUGGGCAGCCUAGCUGUUCAGUGUCGCAGCUAACGCAUUAAGCACUCCGCCUGGGGAGUACGGCCGCAAGGUUGAAACUCAAAGGAAUUGACGGGGGCCCGCACAAGCGGUGGAGCAUGUGGUUCAAUUCGACGCAACGCGAAGAACCUUACCAACCCUUGACAUGCCAGGACGGUACUCAGAGAUGGAUACCUUCCCGCAAGGGACCUGGACACAGGUGCUGCAUGGCUGUCGU